CCUCCUCCGGUCACUACAUCGACCUCGCCAACCGCUGACACAGUUAAACUAAAGGAGGUGAGUGCGGGUAGUAGCGCUGCUGAUCCCGCAACUGCUAUUGAAGACAUCCCUGUCAACGAACCGAGAGACACAGAACUUACCCAUGAUAUGGGUAUUGGAGAUUUCGAUGAACGUGACUUCGAUCUUGAUAUUUCCGAAGAUGUACACCAGGAGA